GCUUUUUGCUAAAGAACAGCAGCUUUGUUUUCUGAGCAUAGUUGUUUAUUUGCAAAUGUGGGAGACAUGCUUUUUAAGCAUGCUUGAACAAAGUCCGAAGAAAAGUGCGGCAUGGGUUCUCUCUCUCUCUCUCUCUUGUGUACUUUCUUAUGCAAGAGCCUGCUAUUAUGAAAAAGGAAAUGAAGAACAUGGCAGCUAAACUUUCCAUGUUCACAACCUUGCUGUUAAAGAACAAAGGAGGAAGCAUUUGCGUCUGUCUUCCAUAUCGUCUUGCUGUCAAGAAGACCAAAGCUGAAGAAUAUUGCAGGUCAUGGUGUGUUCUUCCUCUUUACUGUCGUCCACGAUCAUCUCCUUCAUAUGCACAACCUUGCUGCCCACUCGUUGCAAUCAUGAAGACCUUGCUGUCCAAGAUGGAAGUGGGGAGCAAGUGCAUCUGGACCUCGUGGUCUUACUCCAACCGAGCUGAAGAAACUUGGUUAUUGUUCCUCCUAUAUAUAUAGGAGUUCUGUGGUUCUUCUAUGUAUGGAAAGAGUUUUGGCAUUUCAAUCCCUUUGUUGUAAAAGAGUCGAUCUCUUUGUCUCUUUGUUGUUGCUCUGUUUUGUUCCGUGUUGAAAACAGUUUGUAAAACAACUAGUGUGUCUGUCCAGUAAGGAUUGCAGCAGUCAUUGCAAUCCCAGAGUUAAUGUGUAAUCAGUUUUGAUUAGUGAAUCAUUGGGUUCUCAAGAGUUAGAGCCCCGCAGUGUUUUUGAUCUCAAUUGAGGUUUUCACUGCGUGACCAAUGUUGUUAUGUUAUGCAUAUUCUCUGUUCUUGUUUAUGUAGAGAUUAUAAUCUGUCACUCUAUCUGGAGUUUAUACAUCCUUAUAUUUACAUAAUCUUCAGAGCAGAUUUAUGUCUUGGUCUAGAGAGCUUUCGUCUUCUGAAGUCUGAACCUUGUUCUGGAAAGUACGAGCAUCACACGCAGUUUGCUCGAUCAAGUCUCGUCCUUCUACAAAAUGGUGAGAAGAACACUGCCACCUGGUAAUUGCAUUGGACAAAAAAAAGAACAAAAAGGAAAAAACUUAGUCAAAGUCUCAAAGACAGAGUCCUCCAUUAUUGCUCUGCUUGAACAGUGUGGAGGUCGAUGAAGACUGUCAUUGAGAGAUAUUGAGGGUUUAGCCUGGCAAGUGAAAAAUUGAAUGCUUUUUACAUAGUACUCUCACUGCUUAGCUGUAUCCGUUUAUGGCCAUUCAGUUUGGUAUCCAUACUCGUAGGCUGUAGCUAGCAAUGCGAUUGGAUGGGUGCAGACGUGCAGUAAAUAGUUGAUGGAAAUGACAAUGCUGGCAAUUUAAUUAAUCCAUACUUGUAGGCUCUAGCUAGCAAUGCAAUUGGAUGUAGCUAGCAAUGCGGUUGGAUGGGUGCAGACGUGCAGUAAAUAGUUCAUGGAAAUGACAAUGCUGGCAAUUUAAUUAAUCCCUACUUGGAGAUGGGUAUGGGUGCAGACGUGCAGUAAAUACAAUUUAAUUAAUCCAUACUUGUAGAUGGGUAUGGGUGCAGACGUGCAGUAAAUAGUUCAUGGAAUCGAUUCUCUGUUUUUUGCAGCUUUAUGUCAAUCUCUCUCUGACUCUCUGUAGUUCACUUCAGCCAAUAUAUUCACGUCCAUUUUCUGUACAACUCAAGUUUCUGGAGCAGCUCCACACACUUCUUCUGUUCUAUGAUCUCCUAGUUAGUUUGUCUGAAAUUAGCAUCUCUUCCGAUGCCGUUCGUCUCAUUUCUUUUGUUGCUCGAUGAUUCAAUUCCAAAGAUCAUCAUCAUCCCAUUUGAAAAAUGGAGGGAAGAACAUGUAGGAAUGGUGAAACAAUACCUCGAAUUCCUAGUAACUAGGAACAAUGCAAAGACAGAAAAAAGUUGGAGAAUGGUGGGAAGAACAUUAACAUCCGAGAUUAAUGAACAAAAGCGUUGAUUGGCUUCUUCCUUUGCGAUUUUCCCGUCCUCGUUUAUACGAUCCAGAAUACGCUCCGCUUCUUUCCUUGUCAUUUCCUCGUCCUUGAUUAUGCUGUCUGAUAUGGAUAAUCGUAUAUCUGAAAUACAAAG